rnacentral:rRNA from 1 species
CCUACGGGUGGCAGCAGUGAGGAAUAUUGGUCAAUGGCCGGAAGGCUGAUCCAGCCAUGCCGCGUGGGUGAAGGAGCGUUUCGGCGCGUAAAGCUCUAUCGGCAGGGAAGAAGGAGGACGGUAUCUGACUAAGAAGCCCCGGCUAACUACGUGCCAGCAGCAGCGGGAAUACGUAGGGGGCAAGCGUUAUCCGGAUUUACUGGGUGUAAAGGGGGCGCAGACGGCAGCGCAAGCCAGGAGUGAAAGCCCUGGGCCCAACCCCGGGACUGCUCUUGGAACUGCGCGGCUGGAGUGCAGGAGGGGCAGGCGGAAUUCCUGGUGUAGCGGUGAAAUGCGUAGAUAUCAGGAGGAACACCGGUGGCGAAGGCGGCCUGCUGGACUGCGACUGACGUUGAGGCCCGAAAGCGUGGGGAGCAAACAGGAUUAGAUACCCUGGUAGUC